rnacentral:misc_RNA from 1 species
CGACCCUCAAGCAUAGCUUGGUGUUGGGCCCGGUCCCGGGGGACCCGCCCGCAACCCGUAGGCGGCCGCCGCCCGCGCCCCCAGCGUAGCAAGCUCACGCGUUCGCUCGGGGACGGCGCGGCUGGCCCGCCCGGCAAAUGCAAACCCUUCCAAG